AGUGAACGCUGGCGGUAGGCCUAACACAUGCAAGUCGAACGGCAGCACAGUAAGAGCUUGCUCUUACGGGUGGCGAGUGGCGGACGGGUGAGGAAUACAUCGGAAUCUACUUUUUCGUGGGGGAUAACGUAGGGAAACUUACGCUAAUACCGCAUACGACCUACGGGUGAAAGCAGGGGAUCUUCGGACCUUGCGCGAUUGAAUGAGCCGAUGUCGGAUUAGCUAGUUGGCGGGGUAAAGGCCCACCAAGGCGACGAUCCGUAGCUGGUCUGAGAGGAUGAUCAGCCACACUAGAACUGAGACACGGUCCAGACUCCUACGGGAGGCAGCAGUGGCGAAUAUUGGACAAUGGGCGCAAGCCUGAUCCAGCCAUACCGCGUGGGUGAAGAAGACCUUCGGGUUGUAAAGCCCUUUUGUUGGGAAAGAAAAGCAGCAGGUUAAUACCCCGCUGUUCUGACGGUACCCAAAGAAUAAGCACCGGCUAACUUCGUG
rnacentral:rRNA from 1 species